AUACUUACCUGGCAGGGGAGAUACCAUGAUCACGAAGGUGAUUUUCCCAGGGCGAGGCUUAUCCAUUGCACUCUGGAUGUGCUGACCCCCGCGAUUUCCCCAAAUGUGGGAAACUCGACUGCAUAAUUUGUGGUAGUGGGGAACUGUGUUGGCACUUUCUCCUG
ensembl:snRNA U1 U1 spliceosomal RNA